rnacentral:rRNA from 1 species
UACGGGGGGGGCAAGCGUUGUUCGGAAUUACUGGGCGUAAAGGGCUCGUAGGCGGCCAACUAAGUCAGAUGUGAAAGCCCCGGGCUCAACCUGGGAAUUGCAUUUGAGACUGCAUAGCUAGGGUGCGGAAGAGGGAAGCGGAAUUUCCGGUGUAGCGGUGAAAUGCGUAGAUAUCGGAAGGAACACCAGUGGCGAAAGCGGCUUCCUGGUCCAGCACCGACGUUCAGGCACGAAAGCGUGGGGAGCAAACAGG